rnacentral:rRNA from 1 species
CUGGCGGCGUGCCUAAUACAUGCAAGUCGAACGCUUCUUUCCUCCCGAGUGCUUGCACUCAAUUGGAAAGAGGAGUGGCGGACGGGUGAGUAACACGUGGGUAACCUACCCAUCAGAGGGGGAUAACACUUGGAAACAGGUGCUAAUACCGCAUAACAGUUUAUGCCGCAUGGCAUAAGAGUGAAAGGCGCUUUCGGGUGUCGCUGAUGGAUGGACCCGCGGUGCAUUAGCUAGUUGGUGAGGUAACGGCUCACCAAGGCCACGAUGCAUAGCCGACCUGAGAGGGUGAUCGGCCACACUGGGACUGAGACACGGCCCAGACUCCUACGGGAGGCAGCAGUAGGGAAUCUUCGGCAAUGGACGAAAGUCUGACCGAGCAACGCCGCGUGAGUGAAGAAGGUUUUCGGAUCGUAAAACUCUGUUGUUAGAGAAGAACAAGGACGUUAGUAACUGAACGUCCCCUGACGGUAUCUAACCAGAAAGCCACGGCUAACUACGUGCCAGCCGCCGCGGUAAUUA